UUUGUCCAGGACUCACCUCAACCUGGUCUAAUCCUAGUGUGUUUGUUUGUUUGUCCAGGACUCACCUCAACCUGGUCUAAUCCUAGUGUGUUUGUUUGUUUGUCCAGGACUCACCUCAACCUGGUCUAAUCCUAGUGUGUUUGUUUGUCCAGGACUCACCUCAACCUGGUCUAAUCCUAGUGUGUUUGUUUGUCCAGGACUCACCUCAACCUGGUCUAAUCCUAGUGUGUUUGUUUGUCCAGGACUCACCUCAACCUGGUCUAAUCCUAGUGUGUUUGUUUGUCCAGGACUCACCUCAACCUGGUCUAAUCCUAGUGUGUUUGUUUGUCCAGGACUCACCUCAACCUGGUCUAAUCCUAGUGUGUUUGUUUGUCCAGGACUCACAUCAACCUGGUCUAAUCCUAGUGUGUUUGUUUGUUUGUCCAGGACUCACCUCAACCUGGUCUAAUCCUAGUGUGUUUGUUUGUUUGUCCAGGACUCGCCUCAACCUGGUCUAAUCCUAGUGUGUUUGUUUGUUUGUCCAGGACUCACCUCAACCUGGUCUAAUCCUAGUGUGUUUGUUUGUUUGUCCAGGACUCACCUCAACCUGGUCUAAUCCUAGUGUGUUUGUUUGUUUGUCCAGGACUCACCUCAACAUGGUCUAAUCCUAGUGUGUUUGUUUGUUUGUCCAGGACUCACCUCAACAGGAGGGAAAAAAGAAAAAGAAGCAACACCAAAAUAUGAUUGAGUUCACAAGCAGGCAGUCUAGCCAGCAGACACAUGGGUCUGUCUGGUCCCAGAAGGACCCCAGUGGACUGAGGAGAUGGGGA